UACGGGGGGGGGCAAGCGUUGUCCGGAAUUACUGGGCGUAAAGAGCUCGUAGGUGGUUUGUCGCGUUGUCCGUGAAAAACUCACAGCUCAACUGUGGGCGUGCGGGCGAUACGGGCAGACUGGAGUACUGCAGGGGAGACUGGAAUUCCUGGUGUAGCGGUGAAAUGCGCAGAUAUCAGGAGGAACACCGGUGGCGAAGGCGGGUCUCUGGGCCGGAACUGACGCUGAGGAGCGAAAGCCAGGGGAGCAAACGGG
rnacentral:rRNA from 1 species